rnacentral:rRNA from 1 species
CCUACGGGAGGCAGCAGUGGGGAAUUUUGGACAAUGGGCGCAAGCCUGAUCCAGCAAUGCCGCGUGCAGGAUGAAGGCCUUCGGGUUGUAAACUGCUUUUGUACGGAACGAAACGGUCUGCUUUAAUACAGUGGGCUAAUGACGGUACCGUAAGAAUAAGCACCGGCUAACUACGUGCCAGCAGCCGCGGUAAUACGUAGGGUGCGAGCGUUAAUCGGAAUUACUGGGCGUAAAGCGUGCGCAGGCGGUUAUAUAAGACAGAUGUGAAAUCCCCGGGCUCAACCUGGGACCUGCAUUUGUGACUGUAUAGCUAGAGUACGGUAGAGGGGGAUGGAAUUCCGCGUGUAGCAGUGAAAUGCGUAGAUAUGCGGAGGAACACCGAUGGCGAAGGCAAUCCCCUGGACCUGUACUGACGCUCAUGCACGAAAGCGUGGGGAGCAAACAGGAUUAGAUACCCUGGUAGUCCACGCCCUAAACGAUGUCAACUGGUUGUUGGGUCUUCACUGACUCAGUAACGAAGCUAACGCGUGAAGUUGACCGCCUGGGGAGUACGGCCGCAAGGUUGAAACUUAAAGGAAUUGACGG